rnacentral:rRNA from 1 species
AUUGAACGCUGGCGGCAUGCCUUACACAUGCAAGUCGAACGGUAACGCGGGGCAACCUGGCGACGAGUGGCGAACGGGUGAGUAAUGUAUCGGAACGUGCCCAGUUGUGGGGGAUAACUGCUCGAAAGAGCAGCUAAUACCGCAUACGACCUGAGGGUGAAAGCGGGGGAUCGCAAGACCUCGCGCAAUUGGAGCGGCCGAUAUCAGAUUAGGUAGUUGGUGGGGUAAAGGCUCACCAAGCCAACGAUCUGUAGCUGGUCAGAGAGGACGACCAGCCACACUGGGACUGAGACACAGCCCAGACUCCUACGGGAGGCAGCAGUGGGGAAUUUUGGACAAUGGACGCAAGUCUGAUCCAGCCAUGCCGCGUGCGGGAAGAAGGCCUUCGGGUUGUAAACCGCUUUUGUCAGGGAAGAAACGCUCUGGGUUAAUACCUCGGGGUAAUGACGGUACCUGAAGAAUAAGCACCGGCUAACUACGUGCCAGCAGCCGCCGUAACAC